rnacentral:rRNA from 1 species
UACGGGGGGGGCAAGCGUUGUUCGGAAUUACUGGGCGUAAAGCGCACGUAGGCGGCUUGGUAUGUCGGGUGUGAAAUCCCCGGGCUCAACCUGGGAACUGCAUCCGAAACUGCCUUGCUAGAGUAUGGGAGAGGGAAGUGGAAUUUCCGGUGUAGCGGUGAAAUGCGUAGAUAUCGGAAGGAACAUCAGGGGCGAAGGCGACUUCCUGGACCAAUACUGACGCUCAGGUGCGAAAGCGUGGGGAGCAAACAGG